rnacentral:rRNA from 1 species
GUGGGGAAUAUUCCGCAAUGGACGAAAGUCUGACGGAGCAACGCCGCGUGAGUGAUGAAGGUUUUCGGACUGUAAAGCUCUGUUGUUUAGGACGAAAGUGCCUGUUGCGAACAGUUACAGGUAUUGACGGUACUAAACGAGGAAGUCACGGCUAACUACGUGCCAGCAGCCGCGGUAAUACGUAGGUGGCAAGCGUUGUCCGGAAUUAUUGGGCGUAAAGAGCAUGUAGGCGGAGAUUUUAGUCUGUUGUGAAAAUGCGGGGCUCAACCCCGUAUUGCGAUGGAAACUGAAGUUCGUGAGUGCAGGAGAGGAAAGGGGAAUUCCCAGUGUAGCGGUGAAAUGCGUAGAUAUUGGGAGGAACACCAGUGGCGAAGGCGCCUUUCUGGACUGUGUCUGACGCUGAGAUGCGAAAGCCAGGGUAGCGAACGGGAUUAGAAACCCUAGUAGUCC